CAGGCAUCGCUGUGAGGCUCCCCAAACCCAAGGCUCCGAGGCAAGGGCACUCAACAGAGGAGUGCCCAGUGCCCUCCCCCGCCAGAACGAAGCCAGUUACCCUGUUGUGAGCUGUGCUGCGGAACAGCCAGCCAAGCGGGAUCGGAGGCCUAUCCACAGCUGCGUGAGUGACCCCGAAAGUGGAUCCUCCCCCAGGGGAGCCUCGUACCAGGGCCAACACCCGUGAGAAACCCUGAACCAGAGGGCUCGUGAGCUGUGAACCCAGAAACUCUGGUUCUCAGGAAACCCGGCGCUGCGUGAGGAUCCGAGGGCCCGAUGAGCGAAGGGCUUGAACUUAACUGCGUGGACCGUGUGACCACGCUCUGACUUUUCCAAGGCCUUUUCGAAUCCAAGGUG